GACGAACGCUGGCGGCGUGCUUAACACAUGCAAGUCGAACGGUAAGGCCCUUCGGGGUACGCGAGUGGCGAACGGGUGAGUAACACGUGGGUGAUCUGCCCUGCACUUCGGGAUAAGCCUGGGAAACUGGGUCUAAUACCGGAUAGGACCACUGCCUGCAUGGGGGGUGGUGGAAAGCUUUUGCGGUGUGGGAUGGGCCCGCGGCCUAUCAGCUUGUUGGUGGGGUGAUGGCCUACCAAGGCGACGACGGGUAGCCGGCCUGAGAGGGUGACCGGCCACACUGGGACUGGGAUACGGCCCAGACUCCUACGGGAGGCAGCAGUGGGGAAUAUUGCACAAUGGGCGCAAGCCUGAUGCAGCGACGCCGCGUGAGGGAUGACGGCCUUCGGGUUGUAAACCUCUUUCAGCACCGACGAAGCGCAAGUGACGGUAGGUGCAGAAGAAGGACCGGCCAACUACGUGCCAGCCGCCGCAGUAA
rnacentral:rRNA from 1 species